rnacentral:tRNA from 1 species
GCUUGGGUAGUUUAUUUAAAAUUGGGUCUUGUGGAUUCUUAGAAGCUUUAAUAGUCUCAGGUA